UGUUUGGGCUUUCUAAUCGCACAAGACUUGAACGCUAUUUGUUGGGCCGUUUUCUGUUUAGAUAUUGGGCCGCUUGUUACUGGGCUUUACCUUUGGUUGUGUAUACGUGUUAGCAUGAUAUGAACUUGACUGACAAUAUGCGAUACAUGUUUGCCAUGAUCUAUACGUGUCUGUAACGUGAUUAACUCCGUGUAACUAUACGUGCUUUACUCGAAUCAAACCUGACGCGUAUGAUAAACAUGCUAGGACGUGGUUGAUCACAUUGUAGCUUAACUGAAUCUUUUUGUGUAUCAUACCGAGCAAUCCCAGGUGAGUUCAUUGCAUUUUCUCAAGCAUGCGUCCCGGUGGUUUGGGGCAACUGGUCGUUAACGUUUGGAACAUGGACUUGCUAUCUGGGAGUGCUGGAGUGGUCAUGGAUCGAGACUCUUGUAUUCACUUAUAA
rnacentral:lncRNA from 1 species